rnacentral:rRNA from 1 species
GGCUCAGGACGAACGCUGGCGGCGUGCCUAACACAUGCAAGUCGAGCGGAGGAUGCGGAGUAGUAAUACAAAGGAUCCUUAGCGGCGGACGGGUGAGUAACACGUGGGUAACCUGCCUCAGAGUGGGGGAUAGCCUUUCGAAAGGAAGAUUAAUACCGCAUAAGAUUGUACUGCCACAUGGCAGAGCAAGAAAAGGAGCAAUCCGCUUUGAGAUGGACCCGCGGCGCAUUAGCUAGUUGGUGAGGUAACGGCUCACCAAGGCCACGAUGCGUAGCCGACCUGAGAGGGUGAUCGGCCACAUUGGAACUGAGACACGGUCAGACUCCUACGGGAGGCAGCAGUGGGGAAUAUUGCACAAUGGGCGAAAGCCUGAUGCAGCAACGCCGCGUGAGUGAUGAAGGCCUUCGGGUCGUAAAGCUCUUUGAUCAGGGAUGAUAAUGACAGUACCUAAAAA